rnacentral:rRNA from 1 species
UACAGAGGUCUCAAGCGUUGUUCGGAUUCAUUGGGCGUAAAGGGUGCGUAGGCGGCGCGGUAAGUCGGGUGUGAAAACUCGGAGCUUAACUCCGAAACUGCAUUCGAUACUGCCGUGCUUGAGGACUGGAGAGGAGACUGGAAUUUACGGUGUAGCGGUGAAAUGCGUAGAUAUCGUAAGGAAGACCAGUGGCGAAGGUGGGUCUCUGGACAGUUCCUGACGCUGAGGCACGAAGGUCAGGGGAGCAAACGGG